CUUCUCCCUGCACCAAGGGGCAUAUUGGAGUUGCCAGCCCAGUCCCUAAAGCUCUAAGGGGUACUACUUCUGAACUCCCCCUCUCUAGACCUUAGUGGUUUUGCGUGUAGGAUAGAUGGAGGCUGAAGAUGAUUUCAAGGGAUCUCAAAGAUCCAGCAGGAGGUUCCUCUCUCCUAUCAGGUCUGGGCCAGCAGUGAACUCCAUUGCUCUACCCACCCCAACCUCCCCAAACUGAGCUCAGACAGCCCACUGCUUUCCUAACAUGUUUUUCUUUCCAGACUCUCUCCGGAAAGUCAUGGGUCAGCCCCAGCACUGCUCUCCUGUCCUGCUGGGUCCUCAAUAUAAAAUACUACCCAGGUUGCUAGAAAAGCAGUACCUGGGAUGAAGACUUCUGGGAUGCCCUUCUUGGUUCCUGCCACAUUACUAGCAACAUGACAGCUCCGGGCUUCAGUUUUCUUAUCUUCAAAGUGUAAAUUCCAACAUCUGUCUAACCUAUUUAUUUCUCACGCUGCCUAUCCCAGUGAGACCAGAACAUACGGACAAUGAUAAGUCAGGUGGCCAGAGACAGGCUUCUCCAGAGGAUACAGAGAGCAACCCUCACUAUCUGCUCCCCAUCAAUGCCAACCUCCAAAAUCACCUCUGCAGUGGGCUCCCAGAGCCUGAAUCCCACAGGCUGCCCAACACUCCCCAGAGCCGCAGCUCACUGUCUUCCAGCCUGUGUUUUCAGAACUGCACAGGCCCCACGACACAGGUAGAGUGAGCAGGAACACGGCCACUGACCCCUGUUCUUGUCUCAAUGACUCCUAUCUCAGUCCCUCAGACUUCUCCACAGCAGACCACUUCUACCCAACCACAGACCUCCUCCUCCUCACAGCUUCCAUUCUCUGGCUCUUCUGGCUCUCCUCCAUUAGGCCAGCCACCACUCAGCCCUGGGGCAGGAGCUCUCAUGACCCUCUAAUCAAACAGCCAACAACAGCCAAGGCUCUGAAUUCAUAUCCAGGAGAAGUCAUGGCUUGCUACCCUUUGGUGGGGGCAGAAGCAAGAGAGGCAAGCAUGCACAGCACAGGAAACAAGCCUUCCUAGGAGGAAGGAAACCAACCUAUCUCUGUCAGAUCAUCAAUUUCUACGAGCACACCAGUCCACAGCACCAUCAGAGGGGUCGCAUCUGUCUGCUUGGUGGCCCGUCUGAGGGAAGGGGAGCCACAUGUGAGCACACAUGGAAUAUAUCUACUUUGUCACACAGGCUAACGUGAGUCUUCCCUGAGGCUCGCUGGAGCCCAGGCUGAGGGUGACGGCAACCUUACCCUUGA